rnacentral:rRNA from 1 species
AAAUGAAUAGACGGGGACCCGCACAAGCGGUGGAGCAUGUUGCUUAAUUCGACGCAACGCGAAGAACCUUACCGGGGCUUGAAGUGUGCCGGACCGCCAUGGAGACAUGGCUUCCCUUCGGGGCCGGUACAUUAGGUGCUGCACGGCUGUCGUCAGCUCGUGUCGUGAGAUGUUGGGUUAAGUCCUCUAACGAGCGCAACCCUUAUCCGCAGUUGCCAUCAGGUAAUGCUGGGCACUCUGCGGAGACUGCCGGUGAUAAACCGGAGGAAGGUGGGGAUGACGUCAAGUCAUCGUGGCCCUUACGUCCCGGGCUGCAAACGUGCUACAAUGGCUGGUACAAAGGGAAGCAAGACCGCGAGGUGGAGCAAAUCCCAAAAAGCCAGUCUCAGUUCGGAUCGCAGUCUGCAACUCGACUGCGUGAAGUUGGAAUCGCUAGUAAUCGCGGAUCAGCAUGCCGCGGUGAAUACGUUCCCGGGUCUUGUACACACCGCCCGU